rnacentral:rRNA from 1 species
GACGAACCGUGCGAACGUUGUUCGGAAUUACUGGGCGUAAAGGGCGCGUAGGCGGCCUGCUAAGUCGAACGUGAAAUCCCCGGGCUCAACCCGGGAACUGCGUCCGAUACUGACAGGCUUGAAUCCGGGAGAGGGAUGUGGAAUUCCAGGUGUAGCGGUGAAAUGCGUAGAUAUCUGGAGGAAUACCGGUGGCGAAGGCGGCAUCCUGGACCGGCAUUGACGCUGAUGAGCGAAAGCUAGGGGAGCAAACGGG